rnacentral:rRNA from 1 species
GGCGAACGGGUGAGUAAUACAUCGGAACGUGCCCAGUCGUGGGGGAUAACUACGCGAAAGCGUAGCUAAUACCGCAUACGAACUCUGGUUGAAAGCGGGGGAUCGCAAGACCUCGCGCGAUUGGAGCGGCCGAUGGCAGAUUAGGUAGUUGGUGGGGUAAAGGCUCACCCAAGCCGACGAUCUGUAGCUGGUCUGAGAGGACGACCAGCCACACUGGGACUGAGACACGGCCCAGACUCCUACGGGAGGCAGCAGUGGGGAAUUUUGGACAAUGGGCGCAAGCCUGAUCCAGCCAUUCCGCGUGCAGGAUGAAGGCCCUCGGGUUGUAAACUGCUUUUGUACGGAACGAAAAGCGCUGAGUUAAUACCUCGGCGUCAUGACGGUACCGUAAGAAUAAGCACCGGCUAACUACGUGCCAGCCGCCGCGG